rnacentral:rRNA from 1 species
CGUGUAGGCGGAACGUUAAGUCUGGUUUUAAAGACCGAGGCUCAACCUCGGGAGUGGACUGGAUACUGGCGAUCUUGACCUCUGGAGAGGUAACUGGAAUUCCUGGUGUAGCGGUGGAAUGCGUAGAUACCAGGAGGAACACCAAUGGCGAAGGCAAGUUACUGGACAGAAGGUGACGCUGAGGCGCGAAAGUGUGGGGAGCAAACCGGA